AGGGUUUGAUCAUGGCUCAGAACGAACGCUGGCGGCACGCCUAACACAUGCAAGUCGAGCGCACUCUUCGGAGUGAGCGGCGGACGGGUUAGUAACGCGUGGGAACAUACCCAACACUACGGAAUAGCCUCGGGAAACUGAGAGUAAUACCGUAUACGCCCUUCGGGGGAAAGAUUUAUCGGUGAUGGAUUGGCCCGCGUUAGAUUAGAUAGUUGGUGGGGUAAUGGCCUACCAAGUCUACGAUCUAUAGCUGGUUUGAGAGGAUGAUCAGCAACACUGGGACUGAGACACGGCCCAGACUCCUACGGGAGGCAGCAGUGGGGAAUCUUAGACAAUGGGCGCAAGCCUGAUCUAGCGAUGCCGCGUGAGUGACGAAGGCCUUAGGGUCGUAAAGCUCUUUCGCCAGGGAUGAUAAUGACAGUACCUGGUAAAGAAACCCCGGCUAACUCCGUGCCAGCAGCCGCGGUAAUACGGAGGGGGUUAGCGUUGUUCGGAAUUACUGGGCGUAAAGCGUACGUAGGCGGAUUGGAAAGUAUGGGGUGAUAUCCCAGGGCUCAACCCUGGAACUGCCCUGUAAACUAUCAGUCUAGAGUUCGAGAGAGGUGAGUGGAAUUCCAAGUGUAGAGGUGAAAUUCGUAGAUAUUUGGAGGAACACCAGUGGCGAAGGCGGCUCACUGGCUCGAUACUGACGCUGAGGUACGAAAGUGUGGGGA
rnacentral:rRNA from 1 species